rnacentral:rRNA from 1 species
GACGAACGCUGGCGGCGUGCUUAACACAUGCAAGUCGAACGGAAAGGCCCUGCUUUUGUGGGGUGCUAGAGUGGCGAACGGGUGAGUAACACGUGAGUAACCUGCCCUUGACUUUGGGAUAACUUCAGGAAACUGGGGCUAAUACCGGAUAGGAGCUCCUGCUGCAUGGUGGGGGUUGGAAAGUUUCGGCGGUUGGGGAUGGACUCGCGGCUUAUCAGCUUGUUGGUGGGGUAGUGGCUUACCAAGGCUUUGACGGGUAGCCGGCCUGAGAGGGUGACCGGCCACAUUGGGACUGAGAUACGGCCCAGACUCCUACGGGAGGCAGCAGUGGGGAAUAUUGCACAAUGGGCGGAAGCCUGAUGCAGCAACGCCGCGUGCGGGAUGAAGGCCUUCGGGUUGUAAACCGCUUUCGCCUGUGACGAAGCGUGAGUGACGGUAAUGGGUAAAGAAGCACCGGCUAACUACGUG